rnacentral:rRNA from 1 species
UACGGGGGGUCCAAGCGUUGUUCGGAAUCACUGGGCGUAAAGCGCAUGUAGGUGGCUUUUCAAGUCAACUGUGAAAGCCCAGGGCCUAACCCUGGAAGUGCAGUUGAUACUGUUGAGCUUGAGUACGAGAGAGGAUAGUGGAAUUCCUGGUGUAGUGGUGAAAUACGUAGAUAUCAGGAGGAACACCUGUGGCGAAAGCGGCUCACUGGACCAUUACUGACGCUGAGGCGCGAAAGCUAGGGGAGCAAACAGG